CAAGUCGAACGAAGGCUCUAGCUUGCUAGAUGUCCUUAGUGGCGGACGGGUGAGUAACGCGUGGGAACCAACCUUGGAGGCGGGGAAUAACUAUUAGGAAACGAUGGCUAAUACCGCAUACGCCCUCAGGGGGAAAGGCUUCGGCCACUCCAAGACGGUCCCGCGUCUGAUUAGCUAGUUGGUGAGGUAAUGGCUCACCAAGGCGACGAUCAGUAGCUGGUCUGAGAGGAUGAUCAGCCACACUGGGACUGAGACACGGCCCAGACUCC
rnacentral:rRNA from 2 species